GGUUAAGCGACUAAGCGUACACGGUGGAUGCCCUGGCAGUCAGAGGCGAUGAAGGACGUGCUAAUCUGCGAUAAGCGUCGGUAAGGUGAUAUGAACCGUUAUAACCGGCGAUUUCCGAAUGGGGAAACCCAGUGUGAUUCGUCACACUAUCAUUAACUGAAUCCAUAGGUUAAUGAGGCGAACCGGGGGAACUGAAACAUCUAAGUACCCCGAGGAAAAGAAAUCAACCGAGAUUCCCCCAGUAGCGGCGAGCGAACGGGGAGCAGCCCAGAGCCUGAAUCAGUGUGUGUGUUAGUGGAAGCGUCUGGAAAGGCGCGCGAUACAGGGUGACAGCCCCGUACACAAAAAUGCACAUGCUGUGAGCUCGAUGAGUAGGGCGGGACACGUGGUAUCCUGUCUGAAUAUGGGGGGACCAUCCUCCAAGGCUAAAUACUCCUGACUGACCGAUAGUGAACCAGUACCGUGAGGGAAAGGCGAAAAGAACCCCGGCGAGGGGAGUGAAAAAGAACCUGAAACCGUGUACGUACAAGCAGUGGGAGCACGCUUAGGCGUGUGACUGCGUACCUUUUGUAUAAUGGGUCAGCGACUUAUAUUCUGUAGCAAGGUUAACCGAAUAGGGGAGCCGAAGGGAAACCGAGUCUUAACUGGGCGUUAAGUUGCAGGGUAUAGACCCGAAACCCGGUGAUCUAGCCAUGGGCAGGUUGAAGGUUGGGUAACACUAACUGGAGGACCGAACCGACUAAUGUUGAAAAAUUAGCGGAUGACUUGUGGCUGGGGGUGAAAGGCCAAUCAAACCGGGAGAUAGCUGGUUCUCCCCGAAAGCUAUUUAGGUAGCGCCUCGUGAAUUCAUCUCCGGGGGUAGAGCACUGUUUCGGCAAGGGGGUCAUCCCGACUUACCAACCCGAUGCAAACUACGAAUACCGGAGAAUGUUAUCACGGGAGACACACGGCGGGUGCUAACGUCCGUCGUGAAGAGGGAAACAACCCAGACCGCCAGCUAAGGUCCCAAAGUCAUGGUUAAGUGGGAAACGAUGUGGGAAGGCCCAGACAGCCAGGAUGUUGGCUUAGAAGCAGCCAUCAUUUAAAGAAAGCGUAAUAGCUCACUGGUCGAGUCGGCCUGCGCGGAAGAUGUAACGGGGCUAAACCAUGCACCGAAGCUGCGGCAGCGACGCUGAUGCGUUGUUGGGUAGGGGAGCGUUCUGUAAGCCUGCGAAGGUGUGCUGUGAGGCAUGCUGGAGGUAUCAGAAGUGCGAAUGCUGACAUAAGUAACGAUAAAGCGGGUGAAAAGCCCGCUCGCCGGAAGACCAAGGGUUCCUGUCCAACGUUAAUCGGGGCAGGGUGAGUCGACCCCUAAGGCGAGGCCGAAAGGCGUAGUCGAUGGGAAACAGGUUAAUAUUCCUGUACUUGGUGUUACUGCGAAGGGGGGACGGAGAAGGCUAUGUUGGCCGGGCGACGGUUGUCCCGGUUUAAGCGUGUAGGCUGGUUUUCCAGGCAAAUCCGGAAAAUCAAGGCUGAGGCGUGAUGACGAGGCACUACGGUGCUGAAGCAACAAAUGCCCUGCUUCCAGGAAAAGCCUCUAAGCAUCAGGUAACAUCAAAUCGUACCCCAAACCGACACAGGUGGUCAGGUAGAGAAUACCAAGGCGCUUGAGAGAACUCGGGUGAAGGAACUAGGCAAAAUGGUGCCGUAACUUCGGGAGAAGGCACGCUGAUAUGUAGGUGAAGUCCCUCGCGGAUGGAGCUGAAAUCAGUCGAAGAUACCAGCUGGCUGCAACUGUUUAUUAAAAACACAGCACUGUGCAAACACGAAAGUGGACGUAUACGGUGUGACGCCUGCCCGGUGCCGGAAGGUUAAUUGAUGGGGUUAGCGCAAGCGAAGCUCUUGAUCGAAGCCCCGGUAAACGGCGGCCGUAACUAUAACGGUCCUAAGGUAGCGAAAUUCCUUGUCGGGUAAGUUCCGACCUGCACGAAUGGCGUAAUGAUGGCCAGGCUGUCUCCACCCGAGACUCAGUGAAAUUGAACUCGCUGUGAAGAUGCAGUGUACCCGCGGCAAGACGGAAAGACCCCGUGAACCUUUACUAUAGCUUGACACUGAACAUUGAGCCUUGAUGUGUAGGAUAGGUGGGAGGCUUUGAAGUGUGGACGCCAGUCUGCAUGGAGCCGACCUUGAAAUACCACCCUUUAAUGUUUGAUGUUCUAACGUGGACCCGUAAUCCGGGUUGCGGACAGUGUCUGGUGGGUAGUUUGACUGGGGCGGUCUCCUCCUAAAGAGUAACGGAGGAGCACGAAGGUUGGCUAAUCCUGGUCGGACAUCAGGAGGUUAGUGCAAUGGCAUAAGCCAGCUUGACUGCGAGCGUGACGGCGCGAGCAGGUGCGAAAGCAGGUCAUAGUGAUCCGGUGGUUCUGAAUGGAAGGGCCAUCGCUCAACGGAUAAAAGGUACUCCGGGGAUAACAGGCUGAUACCGCCCAAGAGUUCAUAUCGACGGCGGUGUUUGGCACCUCGAUGUCGGCUCAUCACAUCCUGGGGCUGAAGUAGGUCCCAAGGGUAUGGCUGUUCGCCAUUUAAAGUGGUACGCGAGCUGGGUUUAGAACGUCGUGAGACAGUUCGGUCCCUAUCUGCCGUGGGCGCUGGAGAAUUGAGGGGGGCUGCUCCUAGUACGAGAGGACCGGAGUGGACGCAUCACUGGUGUUCGGGUUGUCAUGCCAAUGGCACUGCCCGGUAGCUAAAUGCGGAAGAGAUAAGUGCUGAAAGCAUCUAAGCACGAAACUUGCCCCGAGAUGAGUUCUCCCUGACUCCUUGAGAGUCCUGAAGGAACGUUGAAGACGACGACGUUGAUAGGCCGGGUGUGUAAGCGCAGCGAUGCGUUGAGCUAACCGGUACUAAUGAACCGUGAGGCUUAACCUU
rnacentral:rRNA from 1 species